rnacentral:rRNA from 1 species
AAAGGAAUUGACGGGGGCCCGCACAAGCGGUGGAGCAUGUGGUUUAAUUCGACGCAACGCGAAGAACCUUACCGGGGUUUGACAUCCCGCGAACUCGGUGGAAACACUGAGGUGCCUUUCGGGGAACGCGGAGACAGGUGGUGCAUGGUUGUCGUCAGCUCGUGUCGUGAGAUGUUGGGUUAAGUCCCGCAACGAGCGCAACCCCUACCUUUAGUUGCCAGCGGGUAAUGCCGGGCACUCUAAAGGGACUGCCGGUGACAAACCGGAGGAAGGUGGGGAUGACGUCAAAUCAUCAUGCCCUUUAUAUCCCGGGCUACACACGUGCUACAAUGGCCGGUACAGAGGGGAGCGAACCCGCGAGGGGAAGCAAAUCCCAAAAAGCCGGUCUCAGUUCGGAUUGCAGGCUGCAACUCGCCUGCAUGAAGUCGGAAUCGCUAGUAAUCGCGGAUCAGCAUGCCGUGGUGAAUACGUUCCCGGGCCUUGUACACACCGCCCGU